GACAGUCGGCCGGGAAUCGAACCCGGGCCGCCCGGGUGGCAGGCGAGCAUUCUACCACUGAACCACCAUUGC
rnacentral:tRNA from 1 species